UGCUAUACAUGCAAGUCGAGCGAAUGGAUUAAGAGCUUGCUCUUAUGAAGUUAGCGGCGGACGGGUGAGUAACACGUGGGUAACCUGCCCAUAAGACUGGGAUAACUCCGGGAAACCGGGGCUAAUACCGGAUAACAUUUUGAACCGCAUGGUUCGAAAUUGAAAGGCGGCUUCGGCUGUCACUUAUGGAUGGACCCGCGUCGCAUUAGCUAGUUGGUGAGGUAACGGCUCACCAAGGCAACGAUGCGUAGCCGACCUGAGAGGGUGAUCGGCCACACUGGGACUGAGACACGGCCCAGACUCCUACGGGAGGCAGCAGUAGGGAAUCUUCCGCAAUGGACGAAAGUCUGACGGAGCAACGCCGCGUGAGUGAUGAAGGCUUUCGGGUCGUAAAACUCUGUUGUUAGGGAAGAACAAGUGCUAGUUGAAUAAGCUGGCACCUUGACGGUACCUAACCAGAAAGCCACGGCUAACUACGUGCCAGCAGCCGCGGUAAUACGUAGGUGGCAAGCGUUAUCCGGAAUUAUUGGGCGUAAAGCGCGCGCAGGUGGUUUCUUAAGUCUGAUGUGAAAGCCCACGGCUCAACCGUGGAGGGUCAUUGGAAACUGGGAGACUUGAGUGCAGAAGAGGAAAGUGGAAUUCCAUGUGUAGCGGUGAAAUGCGUAGAGAUAUGGAGGAACACCAGUGGCGAAGGCGACUUUCUGGUCUGUAACUGACACUGAGGCGCGAAAGCGUGGGGAGCAAACAGGAUUAG
rnacentral:rRNA from 1 species